UUUUUUCUGACGGAAGUGUUGCUAGGUCAAUGUUGUGGAAAUGAUAAUGCGAUGACAAAGAAUCCACUAUUUAUUGAUUUUUGAGUUAUAUUUUAGAGACUGUACUAUUCAGUCUAAAAACCAUGAAAUUAUUACCAAGUUUCCACAACAUCCCCGUCAGUAGUGAUAUGAAUGCCAUGUGUUCAACCAGCAGACGUUAUUAAGUUAUUAACUAAAAACAAAGUUCAUUAUUAAUGUAGAGGAUUUAUAGAAAUGGAAUGUUAGACAAGUUGUACGGUUUCUCUGGGGAGAGAAAGGGUCUUCCUGUUAAAAAUUGUAAGAAAGACGAUAAAUGGUCAGUGAAAGUGUGACAGAUGGCGUAAUGUCUGCAUGCGCCGAAUUUACCCAGAAUGCUUGGAAAAAAGACCUAUGCAUCAACUGCCAGAGACCAAGAGGUGAACAUGCUAAGACCGAAGAAAAUGAGCCAAGCUCAGCUUCCCAAAAACCCAGUGAACUUGGAACGGAUUCACCUAAACCUGCCAAAAGGAAUU